rnacentral:rRNA from 1 species
UACGGAGGGGGCGAGCGUUAUUCGGAAUUAUUGGGCGUAAAGGGCGCGUAGGCGGCUUGAUGUGUCAAAGGUGAAAUCCCUCGGCUCAACUGAGGAACUGCCUUUGAAACUGUCUGGCUUGGGGCCGGGAGAGGGUAGCGGAAUUCCCAGUGUAGCGGUGAAAUGCGUAGAUACUGGGAGGAACACCGGUGGCGAAGGCGGCUACCUGGACCGGUUCUGACGCUGAUGCGCGAAAGCGUGGGUAGCAAACAGG